AAGGAUUGCCCUCACAUGAUUAUCGAGUAUAUAACCUCCACCUAUAUAUUUUUUACAACCAUUGUAUACAAAGAUAAUAAAUCAAUUUGCAAGUUCCAAUUGGAUGCGAAAUUAAUUUGGAUCCGCAGUGCUCAUAUGGAACAAAAGGUCAUGCGAAAUAGUCGUAAACAGUUGAAGUUCGUGUAAGUAUACAAGGAAGUAAUAAAUGCCGCAGUGAAAACAGUUUUCAGGUUUCUUUACUCUUAAUCCGAGAAGUUGUAUGAACAAUUUUUUGAAAAUUACAUACGACCUUGUACUUGAUGGGGAAUGCGGAACGCGCGAAAAUCAAUAUGGGCGACGCCAGACGGAAAGCGGGGGCGGCGGAGAGGCGACGGUCGUCACGGGGGACGCAAAUGCAAAAAUCGAUGAGCGCAAUUUGACGGGGUGGAUUUUCCACCUCCGACCCUCAACGUCAUACGCUUUAACGUAGGCCUUAUUGUGUGCAAUGUCGACGUAUCCACAUUAAGCUAUUUUAAACACAAGUGUUAGUAGAGUUGCAUAUUCUGGAACAAGAACUGUUGAAAACACCAAAGAUGUCUCACAAAGGAGGAAAAUUGGUAGAAGGAGACACGUUCGCGGCAAUACUAGGAAUGUCGAAUUUAAUGAAUACAGGUCUUGAACCAGAGUCCCUCUCAAUUUGUGUACAGUUGAUUGAAGCUGGAGUAAAUCCAAGUGUGCUGGCCACAAUAAUCAGCCAGAUGCGG